rnacentral:rRNA from 1 species
UACAGAAGUAGCAUAUCAACCUGCAGCUCACAACUGGCAACCCACUGAAGCUCAGCAGGUGUGAGCCUGGUCAGUACCUGGAUGGGAGACCUCCUGGGAAAAACUAAGGUUCCUUCUGGAA